UUAACCGAUUGGUUCCAUUAUCCUAUUUCAAUUUGUGGUGUGCGAGCGAACAAGCUUCUUCAGAGCUGCUACUUCUUCUGCUUCUUCCUCCAAGAAAAGAAGAGGAGAUGCACUUUACGUUUGCCUGAAUUGCACCCACUCUCUGAGCUUCCAUGCCUUUGUUUGAGAUUACGAAUGCGCAACUAUCCUUCCGUUAUUCUCUGACGUUGAAGGCCCCAAUGCCGUACCAUGCGCCCAGAGGCUCCUGGAUUUGCUUGGACAGCCUUAGGAACAGAAAGGAUGCUAAGCUGAAUGUGAUUAAGGCUGUUGCCACCUUCGAACCUAACACUGUCGCUGCAAAACCACACUCCAAUCACUUGGAUGUAGUUCCUCUAACCCCUCCUUCCUUUGACCUUCAAUUUUCCGACCAAGAAACCCAACAACCUCAACCCGAUGACAGGGAGCGGUUGAGAAGAAUGAGGAUAUCCAAAGCUAAUAAAGGAAAUACGCCCUGGAACAAAGGAAGAAAGCACUCUCCUGAGACUUUACGCAAAAUCAAAGAAAGAACAAGGCUCGCGAUGCAGAACCCUAAGAUCAAAAUGAAGCUCAGUAAUCUUGGCCACUCACAAACCACAGAAACAAGACUGAAAAUUGGUGCUGGAGUGAGAAGGCGAUGGGAAGAGAGGCGUGAAAAGAAGAAGGCAGCGGAGUCUUGCUGCUUUGAGUGGAAAAAUUUAAUUGCAGAAGCUUCUAGGAAAGGCUUUCUUGGUCAGGAAGAGCUGCAGUGGAAUUCUUAUGAAACCUUGGAUGAUCAGCUGAAGCAGGAGUGGUUGAUGAGUGUUGACCAAAGGAAACAAAUGAUAAAGACAUCAGGUGGCAAAAGAGCACCCAAGUCCCCUGAGCAGAGAAGGAAAAUUGCAGAAGCCAUUAGUGCGAAAUGGGCUGAUCCUGAAUACCGUCAAAGAGUUUAUUCUGCAUUGUCCAAGUAUCAUGGCACUGAAGUUGGAGCUGAAAGGAAAGCUAGAAGAAGGCCAAAAGAUGAUACCCAACCUACCAAGAAGAAACCUACAAAAAAAAGAGACACUGUUACUAGUACUCAUGUUAAGAAUGACUCAAAAACCCAUAAGCCCAUCCUGUUGAAAAAAAGUAAAUCCCCAGCCUACAAAGAUCCUUUGGUGAAUUCUAAGCUUGAAAUGAUAAAGAAUAUUAGAGCACAGAGAGCUGCUUCGGAAACCACACAAAUUCAAGCCAUUGAACGAGCAAGACUAUUGAUUGCUGAAGCUGAGAAAGCUGCCAAGGCACUGGAGGUUGCUGCGACAAAGAGUCCUUUUGCACAGUCUUCUUUGAUAGAGACCAGAAAGCUUAUAGCUGAAGCUAUUCAAUCACUGGAAUCCAUUGAUACACAAGCUAUAACUGACAGUAAUGUUCCUUCGGUUGGUUUGAGUGAGGUCAAUCAAGAAAAAGAAUCAGCAUCUGAAGUUCUAAACCAAUCAAAAUUGGCCCCAGUAAAUGGACACACAACAUUAUCAUCAAUGGACUACAAGUUCUCUGAAAAUUUUAGCAAAUUUUCCUUGGAGAAGCCAGUUAAUGGUGAACCUGAACUUCUCCUAACCAAUGGCUGCGCAUCCUUACCUUUUAGUUUGAAUGGUCAGAUACGCGAGUCUAGUCCAUCCAAUCAACAAAGGGAAGCUGAACAGGAUCAGAGAAGUGAAUACGAAACAGAGCCUUCUCCAAUAGUGAUGGGAAUUCAGUCCCUUGAAAAUGAGACAGUGUCUAGAUCACCUAUAGUAGUAUCUAAAAGAUGGGUUCGCGGAAGGCUCGUUGAAGUGGCUGAAGAGAAACAAUAAAAUGGCAAGAGGUGAGUUCAAUCAGCCUCGCAACAGCCAACUACGUGUAGACAGAUCGUGGAAGACUAAAAUAGCAAUCACUAAGGGCACACUUCUAUUAGUUUUGUAGCCAUUGCACAGUUGAGCCCAAGCUGUGGCCAUUUUCCCUUCGGCAGGAGAAUCCAUUACACCGGGGAUCCCACCCGAAUCAUUAAGAGUAGAGCAGUGUUUAUUAAGGGUCAACCAAAUUUUCUUUUAUGUUUUCAAAUUCGCCGUUCAACUAAUGUAUGGCAAUUGACCAAAACUUCCAUAGAUUUGCUCCUUUUCGGUGGUACUGUUUUUAAGGCUGUAGUACUAUAGUUGAAUUUAAGCUAUAUGAUUAGUUUUAAGGAGAAGAUAAAUAUUCGUAACACACUGCAUAAGAAGGUUAUUCUUUUAU